rnacentral:tRNA from 1 species
UAGGGUGGAGCUCUGUGGUAGAGUGCUUGGCUGACAUGCAGGAGGCCCUGGGUUCAAUUCCCAGCACCACAA